rnacentral:rRNA from 1 species
UACGUAGGGGGGCAAGCGUUGUCCGGAUUUAUUGGGCGUAAAGAGCGUGUAGGCGGCCUGAAAGGUCAGCUGUGAAAACUCGAGGCUCAACCUCGAGACGUCGGUUGAAACCAUCUGGCUAGAGUCCGGAAGAGGAGUGUGGAAUUCCCGGUGUAGCGGUGAAAUGCGCAGAUAUCGGGAAGAACACCCGUGGCGAAGGCGGCACUCUGGGACGGUACUGACGCUGAGACGCGAAAAGCGUGGGGAGCGAACAGG